rnacentral:rRNA from 1 species
GGAUUAGAUACCCUGGUAGUCCACGCCGUAAACGAUGUCUACUAGCCGUUGGGGGACUUGAUCCUUUAGUGGCGCAGCUAACGCGAUAAGUAGACCGCCUGGGGAGUACGGCCGCAAGGUUAAAACUCAAAUGAAUUGACGGGGGCCCGCACAAGCGGUGGAGCAUGUGGUUUAAUUCGAUGCAACGCGAAGAACCUUACCAGGUCUUGACAUCCUCGGAACUUUCUAGAGAUAGAUUGGUGCCUUCGGGAACCGAGUGACAGGUGCUGCAUGGCUGUCGUCAGCUCGUGCCG